rnacentral:misc_RNA from 1 species
UGAAGUUUCCACCUACCAAGUCCUGCUAACAAAAACGCCUGUUCCCAGGACUUCCCAGUAGCUUCGAGCAAAGCAGCAUUGCAUGUCUGCAAUUCCACUGAGGCACCGGUAAACAUUGAGGCUGCCUCCUCCCACGCCCUAUUAUGUCCAACGCACAUAACAGUAUGGAUCUCGUCGCAGGAAUAUCUGCAGACAGCUUGCUGAAUAGCUUGCUGAAGAUGCUCAGCAGUCUGUCCAUCCAUGGAUGCAAUUGAAUAGAAGCUUGAAAUGAAAUGGACAUCAGCAUCCAAGAGGUCUGGCACUUGCUCCUGUAUUAUUUUUAGCGUUUCCCUACUCCGUGUCGCAUCGCUAGAUAGAAUGAGCU